rnacentral:misc_RNA from 1 species
CCUCCACAAGGAUGUCUGCACA